rnacentral:lncRNA from 1 species
CUCCGGGGCCCUGUAAUGAGAGGUCAUGGCAGCUCUGUGGAGGCUUUGGCAGCUGUGUCCAGGGCCAGGGUCACGAACCUGGCCUAGACCACAGAGGCAAGGCCAAGGCCAAGGAGUGGUUCUGGGUCACCAUGCGGGACUGCCUGCCCAAGGAAUGAAGAUCAAGGCCCUGGAGGUUAGUCAUGAUUUCUCCUUGCCCAUUGAGGAGUCUAAAAUCAUUGACUUUUUCCCAGGGAGGUCCCUCAAGGAUGAAGUUUUGUGGAUUAAGCUCAUGCAAAAGCAGACCUGUGCCAGCCAGCAGACCAGGUUCAAGGCAUUUGUUACACUCAGAGACUGCAUAGCCAUGUCAGCCUGAGUAGCUGCUGUCAUGGGCAAGGCCAACAUCCUGGUUGAGCUCUCCAUCACCUGUCUGCUCGAGGACACUGUGGGGAACAAGAUAGGUGAGCCCUAAGUGGUCCCUUGAAAGGUGACUGGCCUCCGUGGCUCUGGCGCACCUCCUCCUGACUCCCAGAGACAAUGGCAUCAUCUCAAUCCCUGUGCCUAAGAAACUGCUGCUUAAGGCCAGUAUCUAUGAAUGCUACAUGUUGGCCAGGGGCUACACUGCCACCUAGGGCAAUUUCACCACAGCCACCUCUGAUGCGGUCUCCAAGACAUUGAGCUAUUUUACCUCCCAACCCACCUCUGGAAAGAGACCACAUUAACAGAGUCUCUUAUCAGGAAUUCACUGACCAACUCCUAAAGACUCACACCAAAGUCUUAGUGCAGAGGACCUGGCUUCCCACUGUGGCCACC